CUGGAAACGGGUGGUAAUGCCGGAUGCUCCGCGCUGUCGCAUGAUGGUGUGGGAAAGGGUUUACCGGCAUGGGAUGGGGUCGCGUCCUAUCAGCUUGUUGGCGGGGUGAUGGCCUGCCAAGGCUUCGACGGGUAGCCGGCCUGAGAGGGCGACCGGCCACAUUGGGACUGAGAUACGGCCCAGACUCCUACGGGAGGCAGCAGUGGGGAAUAUUGCACAAUGGGCGAAAGCCUGAUGCAGCGACGCCGCGUGCGGGAUGACGGCCUUCGGGUUGUAAACCGCUUUUGAUUGGGAGCAAGCGAGAGUGAGUGUACCUUUCGAAUAAGCACCGGCUAACUACGUGCCAGCAGCCGCGGUAAUACGUAGGGUGCAAGCGUUAUCCGGAUUUAUUGGGCGUAAAGAGCUCGUAGGCGGUUCGUCGCGUCUGGUGUGAAAGUCCAUCGCUUAACGGUGGAUCGGCGCCGGGUACGGGCGGACUGGAGUGCGGUAGGGGAGACUGGAAUUCCCGGUGUAACGGUGGAAUGUGUAG
rnacentral:rRNA from 1 species